rnacentral:rRNA from 1 species
CCUACGGGUGGCAGCAGUGGGGAAUAUUGCACAAUGGAGGAAACCCUGAUGCAGCGACGCCGCGUGAGUGAAGAAGUAAUUCGUUAUGUAAAGCUCUAUCAGUAGGGAAGAAAAUGACGAUACCUGUGUAAGUAGCCCCGGCUAACUACGUGCCAGCAGCCGCGGUAAUACGUAGGGGGCAAGCGUUAUCCGGAUUUACUGGGUGUAAAGGGAGCGUAGACGGCCGUGCAAGUCCGAAGUGAAAGGCGGAGGCUCAACCCCCGGACUGCUCUGGAAACUGUACGGCUGGAGUGCAGGUGAGGUAAGUGGAAUGCAUGGUGUAGCGGUGAAAUGCGUAGAUAUUAGGAGGAACACCAGUGGCGAAGGCAGCUUACUGGACUGUAACUGACGUUGAGGCUCGAAAGCGUGGGGAGCAAACAGGAUUAGAUACCCGGGUAGUC